ACCCGGCUGAAAGAAUCCCAACUGUUAUCCCCUUGCUCGAGCGCUAACCCUUCUCGGCCUCCAAGCCGCUCGCCCUGGUUGCCGCCGCCGGCCUCCAUUGGAUCGCCUCGAUGCCCGACGCCCGAAUCUCGCAACCCUCCACCAGAUGAAAGUCGCCGCCACCACUAGACCGUUGAUGCUGCGUUGAUCCUCUCUCCCGGAGGCGCCACCAUCUCUGAGCCGCCGUGGAUCUUGUGCUGAUGGGGCUGGCCGCCUUCGUGGCCCUAGCGAGCUUGCAAAGCCGCUGCCGGAGACCAAACCCCCGAUCUCUACGAGCUAGCUAGACGCCUCGCCAUGCCCCCUGAGCGGCUGAGCCCCGCAGCCACCUCGCCAGCCACCGUUGGAGCCGCAGGCGGACGGGGACGAGGACAUCACGUACAGCGGAGGUGUUCCGGGACGAUGAGGAGUUCCAACAAAUGGAAGAAGCGGCGGCACUCCCUGACAACCUCCUUCGUGGAAUCUUCGAGUGCCUUGAUCCGCGCAAGGCGGCGACCCUUCCCUCACUGGCUCUUCCUCCUGCACCUUGACGUCAGCCACUUCCCUGGCGCUACACUGGUCGAGAUCAUGGGCACAUUCACGGCCGCAACACAUCCAGGUAUCCUCCUCCGGACGGGUGCAAAUGUGACUGCAAGAUUGCUAUCGAGGCCUCCCCAGCUUCUGCAUGCCGGUCCUGAAGGGAGCAUAUAUACUCAUUGCUUCUCAUUCCAUAUUUGUUCAUUACGUUUAUUUGCUAAAUUGAUGCUCAUGAAGUCAUGAUUGACUAAUUGUUGUUCGAAUUUCAGAAUCAUCUGCAUCUCUUUGUUACCAAAUUUUGCUGCAACCGUUCUGCCUGCAGGCAGGGAUUCUUGGCCAACCCCACAUCCUUCUCCUAGCCGCGUCCAGGCAGGGAAACAGUGAUCCAGCGGCAAUGACAAAGUUGAUUCAAGCCAGCUCCUUGCCUUGGUGAAGCUGUGAUGUGGGAUGGCGCCAUGGCAGUGGUACUCCAGCCCAAUGCCACGAUGCAAGAAGGACCGCUCAAUAUUUCCUCAGCCGUCGUCUCCGUCGACUUCGCCGCAAGGCCAUCUGUGAUCACCUCCGCCGACUUGGGAGGAAGACCAUCAGCUAUCACCAAGACCUAAUUUGCCACAGGUACUUUUGGAGCAUCUGAUGGGUCUUGUCUGUUUGUCAAUUCGUCAGUUUAAUGUAGCCAAUGUAGCUGUUGCCGACAGUAGACUACAUUUGACUGACAAGCAACACAUGCCCUCCUACAUUUGACCGACAGAUCCUGUUUGUACUUGACAGCAGAAGACUAAAUUCGUAAAAGAAGAUGUCUGUGAUGAGUUCACUGGUUAAAAAAAUACAGGAUGCUUCAGUGACCCCAUUGUAUGAAUAUGUUUGUUUAAAAACAAGCUAGCAUGUUCCUAUAUUUUCUGUUA